AUUGAACGCUGGCGGCAGGCCUAACACAUGCAAGUCGAGCGGAGCGGCGGACGGGUGAGUAAUGCCUAGGAAUCUGCCUGGUAGUGGGGGAUAACGUCCGGAAACGGGCGCUAAUACCGCAUACUAUAAGAUGAGCAUAGGGCGGAUUAGCUAGUUGGUGGGUGAAAGGCCUAACAAGGCGACGAACCGUAACUGGUCUGGGAGGAUGAUCAGUCACACUGGAACUGAGACACGGUCCAGACUCCUACGGGAGGCAGCAGGGGGGAAUAUGGGACAAUGGGCGAAAGCCUGAUCCAGCCAUGCCGCGUGUGUGAUGACGGCCUUCGGGUUGUAAAGCUCUGUUAAUCGGGACGCGGUACCGGAAUAGAAAGCCACGGCUAACUACGUGCCAGCAGCCGCGGUAAUUC
rnacentral:rRNA from 1 species